ensembl:snRNA U6 U6 spliceosomal RNA
GAGUCCACCUCUGCACCGCCUACGAUAAUAUUGGAUAAAUACAGAGAUUAGCAUGACCCCUGAAGAGGAAUGACAGGCAAACUCAUGCAGUGUUCCAUAUGAAA